rnacentral:rRNA from 1 species
GACGAACCGUGCGAACGUUGUUCGGAUUCACUGGGCGUAAAGGGCGCGUAGGCGGCCAUGCGUGUCUUCCGUGAAAUCCCUCGGCUUAACCGAGGACGUGCGGAAGAAACUGCAAGGCUCGAGUCCGGAAGAGGGGGGCGGAAUUCCCAGUGUAGCGGUGAAAUGCGUAGAUAUUGGGAGGAACACCGGUGGCGAAGGCGGCCACCUGGGCCGGAACUGACGCUGAGGCGCGAAAGCGUGGGGAGCAAACGGG